rnacentral:tRNA from 1 species
UGGAUUGUAGUUCUUAUUGUUAGAGCAUCUGAUUGUUAAUUAGGAGGUUGUGAGAUAGAGGCUCACCUGUCCAG